GAUGAACGCUGGCGGCGUGCCUAAUACAUGCAAGUCGAGCGAACGGACGAGGAGCUUGCUUUUCUGAUGUUAGCGGCGGACGGGUGAGUAACACGUGGAUAACCUACCUAUAAGACUGGGAUAACUUCGGGAAACCGGAGCUAAUACCGGAUAAUAUUUUGAACCGCAUGGUUCAAAAGUGAAAGACGGUCUUGCUGUCACUUAUAGAUGGAUCCGCGCUGCAUUAGCUAGUUGGUAAGGUAACGGCUUACCAAGGCAACGAUGCAUAGCCGACCUGAGAGGGUGAUCGGCCACACUGGAACUGAGACACGGUCCAGACUCCUACGGGAGGCAGCAGUAGGGAAUCUUCCGCAAUGGGCGAAAGCCUGACGGAGCAACGCCGCGUGAGUGAUGAAGGUCUUCGGAUCGUAAAACUCUGUUAUUAGGGAAGAACAUAUGUGUAAGUAACUGCGCACAUCUUGACGGUACCUAAUCAGAAAGCCACGGCUAACUACGUG
rnacentral:rRNA from 1 species